UUCUAACCCUAGAAAAUACCAUUUUUUAACAUGUUUUUUCCGUGUUUUUUUUUGUUUAAAAGUAAAAUAAAUUAGUUCAUUUUUAGUUAAUAACAAAUCCAUUGGUUAAAUUAAAAUAUACAGAUAUGUAAUAAUACAGUGAUAAGAGCUUCUUAUGAAGAUAAGAAAGGAGAAUACACCAAGAAAAAUGGAAAGAUGUGAUUUUCUGUUGGGAAGAUGUAUAGUUGCUUAGAAUCUCAUAAGAAAACCUCACCGAUUGUACUCUGCUUUUCAUUGGAAGUAUGUGCCAAAGAAGAAUAAAGCUGGAGCAACAAGAUUGCAAUCCUUGAGAUGAUUCUCAAGGAUUGCAUUGUUGCCUCUGAAUUGUUGCCGUCAAUCCUCCAAAUAGCUCUUCAGAAAAUUAUCCUUUCGAACAUUCAAAUUCAUGGACUCUAUGCUGUACCUCCCGAUGGUUGUUCUACACUGUUAGAAUUGUAUUAUUGUUAUGAAGAGAUGCAGUGUAAAGAAAUGCGAGGACGAGUUACGGAAAAUGUGAACAUCCAGUAUACAUCAGAAGAAAAAUUCAAUAGAAGAAUCAACAAUCAAUCUUCAAGGACUUCUUCUAUUUCUGUAAUUAAUUGUGGGAAUUGUAUUUGUAAAAUAAUAUUUUUUUAAUAAAUCGUUUUAAAAUUUUAAA